GACGAACGCUGGCGGCAUGCUUAACACAUGCAAGUCGAGCGGUAAGGCCCCUUCGGGGGUACCCGACCGGCGAACGGGUGCGUAACACGUGGGCAAACUGCCCAUCCCAUCGGUACAACUCCGAGAAACCGAAGCUACUUCCGCUAACGCCCACCACCGGCUUCGGAUGGUGGUGGAAAGUUCCGGCGGUGUUGGAUGAGCUCUCGGCCUAUGACCUUGUUGGUGGAGUAACGGCACACCACGGCUUCGACGGAUAGCCGGCCUGUGAGGGUGACCGGCCACACUGGGACUGAGACAGGGCGCAGACGCCUACGGGAGGCAGCAGUGGGGAAUAUUGGACAAUGGGCGAGAGCCUGAUCCAGCAGCGCCGCGGGAGGGAUGACGGCCUUCGGGUUGUAAACCUCUUUCGGCAGGGACGAAGCGCAAGUGACGGUACCUGCAGAAGAAGCACCGGCCAACUACGUG
rnacentral:rRNA from 1 species